GCUUGUCUCAAGAUUAAGCCAUGCAUGUCUAAGUAUAAACAAAUUCAUACUGUGAAACUGCGAAUGGCUCAUUAAAUCAGUUAUAGUUUAUUUGAUGGUACCUUGCUACAUGGAUAACUGUGGUAAUUCUAGAGCUAAUACAUGCUUAAAAGCCCCGACUUCUGGAAGGGGUGUAUUUAUUAGAUAAAAAACCAACGUGGGAAACCACUCCUCUGGUGAUUCAUAAUAACUUCUCGAAUCGUAUGGCCUUGUGCCGACGACGUUUCCUUCGAAGGUGUGCCCUAUCAACUGUCGACUGUGAUAUAGACGCUCACAGUGGUUUUGACGGGUAACGGGGAAUCAGGGUUCGAUUCCGGAGAGGGAGCCUUAAAAACGGCUACCACAUCCAAGGAAGGCAGCAGG
rnacentral:rRNA from 1 species